rnacentral:rRNA from 1 species
GGACUACCAGGGUUUCUAAUCCUGUUUGCUACCCACGCUUUCGUGCCUCAGCGUCAGUCAUGGUCCAGUAAGCUGCCUACACCACAGGUGUUCCUCCUGAUAUCUACGCAUUUCACCGCUACACCAGGAAUUCCGCUUACCUCUCCCAUACUCGAGCACUCCAGUUUCCGGCGCACCCUCCCAGUUGAGCCGGGAGAUUUCACACCAGACUUAGAGCACCGCCUACGCACUCUUUACGCCCAGUAAUUCCGAACAACGCUCGCUGCCUACGUAUUACCGCGGCUGCUGGCAC